rnacentral:rRNA from 1 species
UUAGGAAUUUUCCACAAUGGGCGAAAGCCUGAUGGAGCAAUGCCGCGUGCAGGAUGAAGGCCUUCGGGUUGUAAACUGCUUUUAUACGUGACGAAUAUGACGGUAGCGUAUGAAUAAGGAUCGGCUAACUCCGUGCCAGCAGCCGCGGUCAUACGGAGGAUCCAAGCGUUAUCCGGAUUUACUGGGCGUAAAGAGUUGCGUAGGUGGUUUGUUAAGUGAAUAGUGAAAUCUUGUGGCUCAACCAUAAGGCUAUUAUUCAAACUGGCAAACUCGAGAAUGAGAGAGGUCACUGGAAUUCCCUGUGUAGGAGUGAAAUCCGUAGAUAUAGGGAGGAACACCAAUGGCGUAGGCAGGUGACUGGCUCAUUUCUGACACUGAGGCACGAAAGCGUGGGGAGCGAACG